CCCUUAGAUGUCCUGGGCCGCACGCGCGUUACACUGAUGCACUCAACGAGUAUAUAACCUUGGCCGAGAGGCCUGGGUAAUCUUGUUAACUUGCAUCGUGAUAGGGAUAGAUUAUUGCAAUUAUUAAUCUUGAACGAGGAAUUCCUAGUAAUCGCAGUUCAUCAAACUGCAGUGAUUACGUCCCUGCCCUUUGUACACACCGCCCGUCGCACCUACCGAUUGAAUGGUCCGGUGAAAUCUCGGGACGGCGGCUUGGUCGCUUGCGUCCGACUGCUGAAACUUGAUUAAACCAUAUCAUUUAGAGGAAGGUGAAGUCGUAACA
rnacentral:rRNA from 1 species